rnacentral:rRNA from 1 species
UGGGGAAUAUUGCACAAUAGGGGGGAAACCCUGAUGCAGCGACGCCGCGUGAAGGAAAGAAGUAUCUCGGUAUGUAAACUUCUAUCAGCAGGGAAGACAAUGACGGUACCUGACUAAGAAGCCCCGGCUAACUACGUGCC